rfam:Triticum aestivum genome assembly, contig: Triticum_aestivum_CS42_TGACv1_scaffold_030247_1BL
UAUGUACUCCUUCCGUCCGAAAAUACUUAUCAUCAAAAUGGAUAAAAAGGGAUAUAUCUAGACGUAUUUUAAUUCUAGAUACAUCUACUUUUAUCCAUUUUGAUGACAGAUAUUUUCGGACGGAGGGAGUACUGC